rnacentral:rRNA from 1 species
UCGAACGCUCCCUUGGGGUUCGCCCCAGGGGGGAGUGGCGCACGGGUGAGUAGCGCGUGGGAACCUGCCCUCUUGUGGGGGAUAACCGAGGGAAACUUCGGCUAAUACCGCAUGCGCCCCGGCGAAGGCCGGGGGAAAGAGUGAUCUCGCAGGAGGAGGGGCCCGCGUCCGAUUAGGUAGUUGGCGGGGUAACGGCCCACCAAGCCGGUGAUCGGUAGCUGGUCUGAGAGGAUGAUCAGCCACACUGGGACUGAGAGACGGCCCAGACUCCUACGGGAGGCAGCAGUGGGGAAUAUUGGACAAUGGGGGCAACCCUGAUCCAGCAAUGCCGCGUGAGUGAGGAAGGCCUUCGGGUUGUAAAGCUCUUUCGCCCGCGACGAUGCAGNCGGUAGCGGGCGCAACA